GUCCACCCAAAAGAGGAUGUUGAGAAUAGUUUUCUGUUUGGACCCAAGAGCGUCAGGGAACCCUGAGCCCCUGUUGUUCAACACAUCAGCUCUGAGAAGGCAACGGGCACUUGGUCUGCUGGAUCAUCAAGGUGGACCGGAGCAUGGAACGAUCUCACCACGUAACUCUGGCUGAAUUCUCUGUAUAAACUAGGCUGGCCUUGGACUCAGAGAUGCGCCUGCCUCUGCCCCGCAAACACUGGGACUAAAGGUCUGCACAGCCACACCCUGCUGUUCUUAGCCUCUUCAAAUCUGCUCCUUUCUGACCUCUCGAUGUAAAGAUGAGCAGAAAUCAAAGUUAAACAGUCAUAGAGCCCCGUGAGAAAGGACAGGUUCCCUGGUGCCAGACCACCGGCCACGGACCGAGACUUUCUUUCUUUGCAAGUCUCACAUCUCAGCGUCCUCACCUG
ensembl:processed_transcript Gm15503 predicted gene 15503